rnacentral:rRNA from 1 species
UCGGGAAUUUUGGGCAAUGGGCGAAAGCCCGACCCAGCAACGCCGCGUGAAGGAUGAAGUAUUUCGGUAUGUAAACUUCGAAAGAAUAGGAAGAAUAAAUGACGGUACUAUUUAUAAGGUCCGGCUAACUACGUGCCAGCAGCCGCGGUAAUACGUAGGGACCAAGCGUUGUUCGGAUUUACUGGGCGUAAAGGGCGCGUAGGCGGCAAUUCAAGUCAUCUGUGAAAUCUCCGGGCUUAACUCGGAACGGUCAGAUGAUACUGCUUUGCUAGAGUGCAGAAGGGGCAAUCGGAAUUCUUGGUGUAGCGGUGAAAUGCGUAGAUAUCAAGAGGAACACCUGAGGUGAAGACGGGUUGCUGGGCUGACACUGACGCUGAGGCGCGAAAGCCAGGGGAGCAAACGGGAUUAGAUACCCUUGUAGUCCCUGAGCGGGCUGGCAAGGCGCAU